AUUUAUUUUAUACCUGUGCGCAACGAUGAAUCAACGGUAACAAAAUACGGUUCUGAGUGUGAAGUUCGCUUAAACGUGUUUUUAAAUGUCGCGAUUUUUACGAUUUUUGUCAAAAUUUGUUCUUAAAAUGUUUAUACGGGCAUAUACAUAUACAUAAAAAAAAGACUGCGUUCCGAUCGAUUUUCGUUUUUACUAUCAAAUAUCACUUGUGAUGAACUUCGUGUUGAAUCGUCAAACAAUUUUGC